UACGUAGGGCGCAAGCGUUGUCCGGAAUUAUUGGGGCGUAAAGAGCUCGUAGGCGGCCAGUUGCGUCUGCUGUGAAAUCCCGGGGCUCAACCCCGGGCGUGCAGUGGAUACGGGCUGGCUAGAGGCAGGCAGGGGAGAACGGAAUUCCCGGUGUAGCGGUGAAAUGCGCAGAUAUCGGGAGGAACACCGGUGGCGAAGGCGGUUCUCUGGGCCUGUACUGACGCUGAGGAGCGAAAGCGUGGGGAGCGAACAGG
rnacentral:rRNA from 1 species